rnacentral:rRNA from 1 species
GACGAACGCUGGCGGCGUGCCUAAUACAUGCAAGUCGAACGCUGAAGAGAGGAGCUUGCUCUUCUUGGAUUAGUUGCGAACGGGUGAGUAACGCGUAGGUAACCUGCCUGUUAGCCGGGGAUAACUAUUGGAAACGAUAGCUAAUACCGCAUAACAACAGGUGUUGCAUGACAGCUGUUUAAAAGAUGCAAUUGCAUUACUAUCAGAUGGACCUGCGUUGGAUUAGCUAGGUUGUGAGGUAAAGGCUCACCAAGGCGAACAUACAUAGGCGAACUGAGAGGGGGAACCGCCAACACGGGAACGGGAACAGGCCCAGACCUCCUAGGGAGGCAGCAGUAGGGGAUUCUCGGCAAAGGGGGGAACCCUGAACGAGGAAAGCCGCGUGAGUGAAGAAGGUUUUCGGAUCGUAAAGCUCUGUUGUAAGAGAAGAAAAGGUGUGAGAGUGGAAAGUUCACACUGUGACGGUAUCUUACCAGAAAGGGACGGCUAACUACGUG